rnacentral:rRNA from 1 species
GACGAACGCUGGCGGCGUGCUUAACACAUGCAAGUCGAACGGUAAGGCCCUUCGGGGUACACGAGUGGCGAACGGGUGAGUAACACGUGGGUGAUCUGCCCUGCACUUCGGGAUAAGCCUGGGAAACUGGGUCUAAUACCGGAUAGGACCAUGCGCCUCACGGUGUGUGGUGGAAAGCUUUUGCGGUGUGGGAUGGGCCCGCGGCCUAUCAGCUUGUUGGUGGGGUAAUGGCCUACCAAGGCGACGAAGGGUAGCCGGCCUGAGAGGGGGACCGGCCACACUGGGACUGAGAUACGGCCCAGACUCCUACGGGAGGCAGCAGUGGGGAAUAUUGCACAAUGGGCGCAAGCCUGAUGCAGCGACGCCGCGUGAGGGAUGACGGCCUUCGGGUUGUAAACCUCUUUCAGUAGGGACGAAGCGCAAGUGACGGUACCUACAGAAGAAGGACCGGCCAACUACGUGCCAGCCGCCGCGGUAA